AACCGAUGUACAAGAUGUAUAACAUCCAGAUUUUUUUUUUCACGAUCUAAGAAUUCAAGUACGAUAAGCUCAUAUAAAUUCUUCGUAUUUUUUAAUCUAUAGUGAACUUCUAAGGGGCGUUAAGCUACUUAUAUCGACGAGAUUGGCUGAGUCCGGUAGAGGAAUAAACCGGUAAAAUUUGGAAUUGUUGGUAUUUAAAUUAGAUACUUCGUCUGAGGGCGGACAAAAUAAAUGGUAGCAAACUAGAUCCCCCAAAUAUGUUCUGUAUUAUAUCUGUACUUAACGAAUUUGUAUCUCAUUGAUUGUACAUGCGACCAUUUGAAAGUAGAUAAUCAUUAUCUCCAUAAGGAACCUUCGACAAAUUAAUGUAAAUGUAAAUAUAGAGAAUCAUUUGAACGCUACGAAAGUUAGAGGAGUUUAGAGCAGCCUUUCGAAAUUAAAGCAUCAAGAUUA